UAGGGAAUCUUCGGCAAUGGACGGAAGUCUGACCGAGCAACGCCGCGUGAGUGAAGAAGGUUUUCGGAUCGUAAAGCUCUGUUGUUAGAGAAGAACGUUGGUAGGAGUGAAAAUAUACCAAGUGACGGUAACUAACCAGAAAGGGACGGCUAACUACGUGCCAGCAGCCGCGGUAAUACGUAGGUCCCGAGCGUUGUCCGGAUUUAUUGGGCGUAAAGCGAGCGCAGGCGGUUCUUUAAGUCUGAAGUUAAAGGCAGUGGCUUAACCAUUGUACGCUUUGGAAACUGGAGGACUUGAGUGCAGAAGGGGAGAGUGGAAUUCCAUGUGUAGCGGUGAAAUGCGUAGAUAUAUGGAGGAACACCGGUGGCGAAAGCGGCUCUCUGGUCUGUAACUGACGCUGAGGCUCGAAAGCGUGGGGAGCAAACAGG
rnacentral:rRNA from 1 species